AAAGGAAUAGACGGGGACCCGCACAAGCAGCGGAGCAUGUGGUUUAAUUCGAUGCAACGCGAAGAACCUUACCAAGGCUUGACAUCUAAAGAAUCUAAUAGAGAUAUUGGAGUGCCCCGAAAGGGGAGCUUUAAGACAGGUGGUGCAUGGUUGUCGUCAGCUCGUGUCGUGAGAUGUUAGGUUAAGUCCUGCAACGAGCGCAACCCCUACUUUUAGUUGCUAACAUUAAGUUGAGCACUCUAAAGGGACUGCUAAGGUUAACUUAGAGGAAGGUGGGGAUGACGUCAAAUCAUCAUGCCCUUUAUGCCUUGGGCAACACACGUGCUACAAUGGUCGGUACAAAGAGAUGCAAUACCGCGAGGAGGAGCAAAUCUUAAAAACCGAUCCCAGUUCGGAUUGCAGGCUGCAACUCGCCUGCAUGAAGCCGGAGUUGCUAGUAAUCGUGAAUCAGCAUGUCACGGUGAAUACGUUCCCGGGUCUUGUACACACCGCCCGU
rnacentral:rRNA from 1 species